CUGGGGCAUUUUCUUCUAGCUGCUGUUGAAACUAUAGAGGAUUAAAGAUUUCCCAAAGUUCAGGCUGGAUAAUCCCUUCUACAGGAUUAACUCACUGAAUAGCUUUCCAGGUAUAUUUGUUUCAGGAAAGAAACAACAGAUUUCAAAUCCCUAAAUCUAGUUCUCGUCAAGAUGGCGCUGUGAGCAGACGUUGAACUCACCUCCUCCCACGAACACAACCAGGUUACAACAAUUUUGGGAAGAAUCACCCUGGAUUGAAAACUGAAAACUGGAUUAAAAGAACCCCCACGACAAAGGACAGUCGUGACGAAAGCAGAAGAGGCAGAAACUCCCGCUGGAGAGGAAAAAAAGCCACCUUUGGGAGCAGCGGAGCUUCUCAGCUGGCCAGGCGGGAGCCAACAUAAGGGGGAAGAAAGACCAUAAAAUGCUCUCUGAAUCCAUAAGGACAACCCCAUUGGCACAGAUGGGAAUUUUACUCUGAAGUGACAGCACUGCUUUCCUGAAACAUGACCUAACGACUACAAAGAGUUUCUUUGGAAGCACCAAAUUUUGUCAUUGACCCCUCUUUACCAUAUCACGCUCUCCUGAACCACUCCAUAGCAAUGUUCCUGGGAAGUUAAAGAUGGCUCAGAAGAAAAACUGUCAUCUUUAACAAAGAAAGAACUGUGUCAUGGCAUCUUGUUACAAUGUUUCAGUUAUUUUGAAAAGCUUUGAUUUGUUGGAGGAAAGGCAAGAAAGUCUAUAAGGCCCCUCCAGCAAAGACACAAUGCAGAUAAGAUCCACCAUCAGAGCAGGUCUGAAGAAGCAACAGAGACCAAAUAUUCAUCUGUAGGCAGCACAUACGAAUGCUCGGGUGCAAACAGCCCGAUGCUAUUUAAAUGGAUGGAUUCUCAUGUGAAUUUACCAUUCACUCUCCUCUAGGGAUGUGAGGACAACGGGAGCAGAUUUAGUUAUCUAUCUUUACUUGCCUCCUUAGAGCCCACAGAAGAAAAUGAAAAUGCUUCAAUAAAAUAAGUGAUGCAAGAAAG
rnacentral:lncRNA from 1 species